UCAAUACCAUCUGGAAGAGAAUACCGGCGCAUUACAGAGGCGAUUUUUCAAACUAUCCAAACAGGCUCUCAUGUGGAACACUACUUUCGCUACUACAUGGCUUUGCCAUCAGACGAUGACCACAGAGGGCACCCAAUAAACAAGGGCCACCAGACAAUGACCACAGAGGGCACCCAAUAAAUGAGGGUACGCAACUCAUGCAAAAGACGUUCGAUCUUCUGGACAAAUCCCAUAUAAUAUCCUUAGGAAUUGACACCCCAGAUGAUUGAUCCCCGAGUUUCGGGGAGAAUCAAAGAGCUUUACCACCAGGGCGUCCACACAAUCCAAGAAAUGCGGCUGCAUAUCAAUGGGUACAUACACGAGAUAUGUGGAGGCCCACCUGACCCAUGCAACGCCAGAUUUAGAGUGGACUACAGAACCCUUCGCAAUCAUAUGGACAUAGCAAGACCAAAGCCCCUGAAUCCAAAACGUCCAAAAGAUCUGCCAGAUGAUGUCAUUGCAGGAGCCAGUAUUCACACGAUAUGAUAUGUAUGAAAAUCAAGAAAGACCACAGAAGAGUGAUAUUAACAAGGAUCAAAUGGUUGAGAAACAAGUUCCUGCAGUCUGCCAAGGCAGUAGCUAUUUCCUUGUAGGAAGAGGGAACCAGACUUGGAUUGGAAAACAAUGAACAAGAAACAAUUAAAGCUGAGGACCAGACUCAGAAAAAUAUGAGAGCUGGGAGCCAGGCAAAGAAAAAAGUCAGAGCUAAGAAACAAGCAAAGAAAAAUAUUGUAGCUGGGAACCACAUUAAUGUCAAAUUAGAUUCCAAGCAACAGACACAAGAAAUCUUUCAAACUGAAGAGCAGAAUAGUGAAAAUGUUUACAUGGAAGAUGAUAUUAUUAGUGAUGGUGAAAUGUUUCAUGAUGAUACGUAUGAAGAAAUUGCAGAAGUGUUUGAUAGAAGUCUGAAAGCCCUAAAGAUUUUUCUGAACCAAAAUUAUUGAGAAAAAAACUGAAACAUGUUAGAAGUUAUAAUCUAGUUUAUAUGUAAAUUGACAAGAACAAAGAAGCUAAAGACUUCUUGAAAUGUUAUUGUAUAAAAAGAAACAUAUUUUUAUGCCCCCCUUCGAAGAAGAGGGGUAGUAUUGUUUUGCACAUGUUGGUCCGUCCAUAUGUCCGUCCGUCCGUCCACCAGAUGGUUUCCGGAUGAUAACUCAAGAACACUUAUGCCUAGGAUCAUGAAACUUCAUAGGUACAUUGAUCAUGAUUCUUAGAUGACCCCUAUUGAUUUUGAGGUCACUAGGUCAAGGUCACGGUGACCCGAAAUAGUAAAAUGGUUUCCGGAUGAUAACUCAAGAACGCUUAUGCCUAGGAUCAUGAAACUUCAUGGGUACAUUGAUCAUGACUCGCAGAUGACCCCUAUUGAUUUUCAGGUCACUAGGUCAAAGGUCAAGGGUACGGUGACCCGAUAUAGUAAAAUGGUUUCCGGAUAAUAACUCAAGAACGCUUAUGCCUAGGAUCAUGAAACUUCAGUGAUGCAUUGACCAUGACUCGCAGAUGACUCCUAUUUGAUUUUCAGGUCACUAGGUCAAAGGUCAAGGUCACGGUAACCCAAAAUAGUAAAAUGGUUUCCGGAUGAUAACUUAAGAAAGAUUAUGCCUAGCAUCAUGAAACUUCAUAGGUACAUUGAUCAUGACUCGCAGAUGACCCUUAUUGAUUUUCAGGUCAGUAGGCCAAAGGUCACGGUGACCCGAAAUAGUAAAAUGGUUUCUGGAUGAUAACUCAAGAACGCUUAUGCCUAGGAUCAUGAAACUUUAUAGGUACAUUGAUCAUGACUCGAAGAUGACCCCUAUUGAUAUUCAGGUCACUAGGUUAGAGGUCAAGGUCAAGGUGACUCAACUUAGAAAAAUGUUUUCCGGAUGAUAACUCAAGAACUCUUACUCCUAGGAUCAUUAAACUUCAUAGGUACAUUGUUAAUGACUUGCAGAUGACCCUAUUGACUUUCAGGUCACUAGGUCAAAGGUCACGGUGACUUGACACAGUAAAAUGGUUUCCAGAUGAUAACUCAAAAAUGCUUACGCCUAGGAUCAUGAAACUUCAUAGGUACAUUGAUCAUGACUCGCAGAUGACCCCUAUUGAUUUUCAGGUCAUUAGGUCAAAGGUCAAGGUCACAGUUCCAAAAAAAAUGUAUUCACACAAUGGCUGCCACUACAACUGACAGCACAUAUGGUGGGCAUGCAUGUUUUACAAACAGCCCUCUUUAUACUCAAUAUAAUUUCAUUUUUGUAUCCUAUGAGAUAAUAAGAAAAACUCAAUCUUUAUUAUUUGUUUUUAUAAACUUUUGGCAUAAUGCAUGCCUUCAUCAAUAUUUGGACAAUAUUUCUGACCAACAUUUGUAUGUUAACAAGCAAAUUCGUAGAAUUGAUAUCCCCUGCCAAAAUACUUCUGGACACAAAUAUUUCUGGACGGAUGGACAACGCCAACAUCAUCCUCUUAUCCAUUUAUAUACUCAUGCCAAGUUUCAAUGAAAUCUGUCAAAGCACUUCCAAGAUAUGGCUCCGGACACACAAAAAAUCAUGUUUUCAAAAUACAAAGGGCCAUAACUCCGUUAUUAUCCGAUGGUGUACAAUGCCAUUUGGCGUGCAUCAUCCUCUUAUCCAUAUAUAUACUCAUACCAAGUUUCAAUGAAAUCCGCCAAAGCACUUCCAAGAUAUGGCUCCGGACACAAAAAAAAGCAAUUUUUCAAGAUACAAAGGGCCAUAACUCUGUUAUUUACAGCUGUGUACAAUGCCAUUAGGCAUCAUCCUCUGAUCCAUAUAUAUAUAUAUACUCAUACCAAGUUUCAAUUAAAUCAGCCAAAGCAUUUCCAAGAUAUGGCUCCGGACACAAAAGUGCCGGACGGACGGACGGACAGACAGACAACGCCAAAACAAUAUCCCUCCGCCUAUGGCGGGGGAUAAUAAAAUAAUAUCAUGUUGAUAUUUUGCAAAGUCAAAUUGUUGGUAAUCAGGUUUGAAUUUAUUUAGCAUCUAAGAGACUGGUACUUUUAUCAGAGUAAUUGAUAAUUAAUAAAUGUCUCCGUAUACCCAUAUAGGUUCAUGAGUUGAAAUCUUUAACAUGUGUUAAUCUCAGCAAUAAAUUCAAAAAUAUUAUUAUACCUCCACAAACGAAGUUUAGGGGAGUAUAUAGGAGUGAACUUGUCUGUCAGUCGGUCUGUCUGUCUGUCGGUCCGUAUUAAGUGUCCACUCUCUAAUUCAAGUUGUUUUCAUCCUAUCUUCACCAAACAUGGUCAGAUGUUGUAUCUAGAUGAUAUCUAGGUCAAGUUCCAAUAUGGGUCAUGCCGGGUCAAAAACUAGAUCACAGGGUCACUUAGUGCGUUUUAAACAUUAAGUAUGGUGUUGCUCUCUAAUUCAAGUAGUUUUCAUCCAAGGCUCCGAGCUCCACCAAACUUGGUCAAAAGUUGUAUCUAGAUGAUGUCUAGGCCAAUUUCCAACAUGGGUCAUGCUAAUUCAAGUCGUUUUCAUCAGAUCUUCAUUACACUUGGUCAGAAGUUGUAUCUAGAUGAUAUGUAGGUCAAGUUCGAAAGUGGGUCAAAAACUAGGUCACUUAGUGCGUUUUAAAAAUAGCAUGGUGUCCGCUGUUUUUUUGUGAAGACAACAUUCAAAAUAUUCUGUGCCAAUGCCGCAUGUCAGGGUAUUACUCACGUCUGUGACAAAGUUCUAGUUUUCAUUUUAAUUGAAAUGAACUGGUAGUUACCUGGUACACAUACCCUGUACAAUUUUAUUGCCGAAUAUACUGAAAAUAUGAAAACUUAACAACUUCUUUUAAGUAAUAUAAUAUACCAGUCGUGAUAUUUUAAUCAAUAUAAACUAAUAAUUGUAAAAAAAUAUAUGGUAUUUUAGAACUUUUCUUUUCUUCGCCAAUCUGGUUGACAGCUCCUUUAAGCAAGCUCAAUAGUUGGUAUAUAGAUAAGGUCGUCUUGAAAUGAUUUAGCCAAUGCACUCUUAAGAAAUAGAACUAACAGUCACAUGAACAUCUACUAUUCAAAGACGAUGCAAAAAUGUCUAGUUUCCAUUGUGACCUUGACCUUCAAGAGACCACUAUGUUCAAAUGAACAUAUUUCACAAGAACCAUUUGAAAUAAUAUAUUACAAUUAUUUGUGCAUAUCUUGUGUUUAAUUGUUUUAGACACAAAAAAUGCUGUAUUAUGAAUCAGAAAUAUUUUUCAAGAGCAUACCCUUGUCAGGCAUGGAUGGAUUUCCUAAUAGCUUGCCACUUGUGAUCGGCGUGAUAAGAUAAUGUCACGCACAAAAUAGGUCCCAAAGUCUAAGGUCAAAGUCACUAUUUAAGGUCAAAUGUCAAAUUUAACAAAUGUUUACUUGACACUUUGUGUGAAGCAGCAAAUCUUUUUCCAAUAUAUAUUGAUUUAAAUGAUACAUACCACAACUGAUAAGCAUGAUGGGAAGGAGUGUCCUGUGCCAGAACCAGGUCAUUAGGUUAAAGGCCAAUGCCACAAUUCAAGUUCAAAGCUUGAAACACAGUCUUGAGCAAAUUGAGGAUUUUAGAAUAAUUUUACAUUAGUUUCAAGCAUACAGAGUGGUGGAUACAAUAACUUAUCACGGGGUUGUGAGUCUGAGUAACUAUUAAAGAUCAAAUAAGAAAAACAAUUGAGACUUUAUCAAAAAUGUUUUUUUAAUGACUGGCAUAUCAUUGUGACCAUGGCAUUCUUGCCAAUCUGAGCAAUAUUCAAAACCUCAAUGUGUCCACUGUAACCUUGACCUGUAAGCAAGCGGCAUAGUUGUUUUUGCACAUAGUCUUACUAUGAUGAUCAUUUGAGCCAGUUUAUUUUGAAAUCCCAUCUUGCACAACAAAGUGAUGAGCAGGACACAAAUAUAAUUUCUUAUAGAAAAAUGUAAAA